GUCUGGUGGACACGCGUCCACCCACCCAACUGCAGGAGCGUGGAGGUUCCAUUUGAGCCAUCAUUCUUUUAGUUGAAGAGAAAUAUAAGUACAAAACCAGAAGACAAAAAUAAUCUCCACCCUGGAAGGGUUCUGCACUUGCAAGCAUAGCGCUGAAAUGUCCAUACCUCAAGUUCCGAAGGUCAGGUUGGGAGAAAACAGAGCGGGCGAGAGUGUGCUGCUCCAGAUGACCCAGGCAGUCUUCCAGCUACGCCUUGGAGAACCUAGGACCACAGUUCACCUACACCAUCCUCCUGACCAGUCUAUGAAUUUCAAACUGAUGAUUCCAGUCAAGGAAUGAAGCCAUCUGUUUGUUUCCUAAAGAACUAUUGGGCAAGAAAGAGUAUGACACAUGAAGCCAACAAGAACAUGCUUGGGUCACAGUGCAACUGGCCAUAGAUCUUUAUUGAACAUGGUAAAAUGUGGUUUUUAAAAAUAUUCUCUCUUAAUCCCUGCAUUUGUGAGCACUGCUUAUCUUUUUAGCUUGAUGUGAAUGUCUUUCUUACAUGACUACACUUUUUCCCUACCUACUGGGCCUGUGAAUCAGAAUCCAGUGGGAGAAAUAAAGCACAAAUUAGAAUUGACCAGUUAUCAAAGACGGUAGCUAUGACAAGGAAUGCCAUGUGAGAUUGGUAUGGAGGGGGGCCAUCCUCAAAGAACUCAGACACAGGAAGUUCUUGAAGGUUUGUGGAGUUGUGGACAGAUUUCCUGAGGGGAGUGGAACAUUAAAUCAUUUCAUUAACCCAACAGCUUUCUCUGGAGCCUGCUGCUCUGCCCUGAGACCUAGCCCUGGAGAAUCUAUUUAUGUUCAUUAUAUGAAAGUCCCAGGCAUUCUGGCCUAAAACUGUAAAGUCCCGCCCCCCUAGCCUUUCAUGACAGACCACUUAGGGAAGAUGACAGUUUCAAAACCAAUGGGUGGCAGUGAGAAAGACACAAAGUCAUCUUUUAGUGUCUCUGGGGUACCAUUCCAGUGUCCCUCCAUAGCUAUUGGGAUCUGCAGGUGACUUAACUCCAUAUGUAAAAUGGCAUAGUAUUUGCAUGUAACCAACACUUAACUUCUCUGACCUGUGUCUCACCUCUAGAUUAAAUGCUAUGCGAAUAGGUAUUAUACUGUAUUAAAAGAUUAGCAUCAAGCGAAGGAGGUCUGAACAUGCUCAGUAUACAUGCAGGGCUUCUGCCGUACCUUCAGCCUGGGGUUGAAUGACUCCACAGAUGGGGACCUCAAAAGGGGAAUGGCUGACUAUAAACUGCCAGAUCAGAUAAAGCAAGGAAGCAAAGAGAGCCCAGGAGAGGAAGGGUCCAGUAAGCCUGGCUUUAGAAGGUAGCUGAAUGCAUUAUUAUUUGCUAGCUCCAAAUGUGAGAAAUGAAGUUAGGAAAAAUUGUCAAGGUGGUACAAAAUUAAAAGCUAUGUCCUGCUUUCUGCAUCCUGUCUUUGGGACUGUUGUGACAUUUUUAUGUGUGUUUUUAAUAUUCCAAACAUGGACAAAGAGAUGGUUUAAAUGAUCAUUGCACACUUUACAAUUCAUGUGUUUUGCCAUGUCUUUAGUGACACAGUUCAUGAGGUUUUAACUCACCUGUGGUAUUGCACUGAGCAACUAUUGCAGAUCAUAUAUCUGCAUGUGUCUUGUCAUGCUGGAGCAGUGGGAAUGCAGAGCAAAGCACCCUCUAUUUCACUUCUUGAUGUGUGCUUAUUUUGCAUGCCAGCACUGGACCUUUGGCCUAGUGCUGUGUGAGAGAGACCUGGAAGGCCCCUUCCUUCUGCAUCUUCACUUUCAGGCCAUCAGUUAGUGAAUUCUGGGAAGUAACCACAAGUAAGGAAGUACAUGGAGGCAUCCUCAGUUGCUGUUAACUAGGCCAAAGCUAGUUCUGCUGAAAGACCAUGACCCCUUGGAUUAGUUGUGCUCUUCCUCAGUUCUCAAUGAAGCAUGCGUACCUAAUACACCUCUGGAAUGCUCACCGGCCACCGACAUUUUACAUGUGAAGGACCAGGGAAAGUUGUGGGAGACCUUCAUUCUCUAUUUCUUGUGGGCAUGCACAUGGCUCCUUGUACUAUAAAAUUUCCCUUAUAAAA